rfam:Loxodonta africana unplaced genomic scaffold scaffold_13, whole genome shotgun sequence.
UCAGUGGUGGUUCAGUGGGAGAAUUCUCGCCUUCUGUGAGGGAGACCUGGGUUCAAUUCCCGGCCAAUGCA